rnacentral:rRNA from 1 species
AGGGAUGAAGGCCUUCGGGUUGUAAACCUCUUUCNNCAGGGAAGAAGCGCANGUGACGGUACCUGCAGAAGAAGCGCCGGCUAACUACGUGCCAGCAGCCGCGGUAAUACGUAGGGCGCANGCGUUGUCCGGAAUUAUUGGGCGUAAAGAGCUCGUAGGCGGUUUGUCGCGUCUGCUGUGAAAACGCGAGGCUCAACCUCNCGCCUGCAGUGGGUACGGGCAGACUANAGUGCGGUAGGGGAGACUGGAAUUCCUGGUGUAGCGGUGGAAUGCGCAGAUAUCAGGAGGAACACCGGUGGCGAAGGCGGGUCUCUGGGCCGUAACUGACGCUGAGGAGCGAAAGCAUGGGGAGCGAACAGGAUUAGAUACCCUGGUAGUCCAUGCCGUAAACGUUGGGCACUANGUGUGGGGCUCAUUCCACGAGUUCCGUGCCGCAGCAAACGCAUUAAGUGCCCCGCCUGGGGAGUACGGCCGCAAGGCUAAAACUCAAAGGAAUUGACGGGGGCCCGCACAAGCGGCGGAGCAUGCGGAUUAAUUCGAUGCAACGCGAAGAACCUUACCAAGGCUUGACAUACACCGGAAAGAUGCANAGAUGUGUCCCCCGCAAGGUCGGUGUACAGGUGGUGCAUGGUUGUCGUCAGCUCGUGUCGUGAGAUGUUGGGUUAAGUCCCGCANCGAGCGCAACCCUCGUCCUAUGUUGCCAGCACGUNAUGGUGGGGACUCAUANGAGACUGCCGGGGUCNACUCGNAGGAANGUGGGGANGACGUCAAAUCAUCAUGCCCCUUAUGUCUUGGGCUUCACGCAUGCUACAAUGGCCGGUAC